UUUCAUGCAUCAUGAUUAUGCAAUAGGAUGAUUGCAUUAGUUUUCACGAAUAUGCCGCAUUGCAUCAAUUGUUGUUGAUGUGGGUGAAUAUUGGAUGACCCAAUUAGUCCAUGACAGGAAGACCAGGACCCCAUUCUACGGCCUGGCACAGAGUAAGGAAAGACCAGGACCCCAUUCUACGGCCUGGCACGGUUAUGGGAC
rnacentral:lncRNA from 1 species